GGGGACAAAGCUAAAUGGUAAAGCACUUGUGCAGUGAGCACAGGGCCCUGGGUUCAAUCCCUAGUGUCCCCA
rnacentral:tRNA from 1 species